CCUGGUUGAUCCUGCCAGUAGUCAUAUGCUUGUCUCAAAGAUUAAGCCAUGCAUGUCUCAGUGCAAGCCGUCCAGUACGGUGAAACCGCGAAAGGCUCAUUAAAUCAGUUAUGGUUCCUUAGAUCGUACCCACGUUACUUGGAUAACUGUGGUAAUUCUAGAGCUAAUACAUGCCGACAGAGUUCCGACCAACUGUACGGAUUUGGCGGCGGUUUCGGUCGUCGUCGCCGUACGGUUCGGAAGGAACGCUUUUAUUAGAUCAAAACCGGCUAAACGGCGGAUUCGCUUCGCGCGUUUCCGUCGUAAGCGGCCCGCGCAAAGAUUUGGUGACUCUGAAUAACUUCGAGCUGAUCGCACGGUCUUCGUACCGGCGACGUAUCUUUCAAAUGUCUGCCUUAUCAACUGUCGACGGUAGGUUCGACGCCUACCGUGGUGGUAACGGGUAACGGGGAAUCAGGGUUCGAUUCCGGAGAGGGAGCCUGAGAAACGGCUACCACAUCCAAGGAAGGCAGCAGGCGCGCAAAUUACCCACUCCCAGCUCGGGGAGGUAGUGACGAAAAAUAACGAUACGGGACUCAUUCGAGGCCCCGUAAUCGGAAUGAGUACACUUUAAAACCUUGGUCACACGAGGAUCAAUUGGAGGGCAAGUCUGGUGCCAGCAGCCGCGGUAAUUCCAGCUCCAAUAGCGUAUAUUAAAGUUGUUGCGGUUAAAAAGCUCGUAGUCGGAUCUGUGUCCUCGCGGCGUCGGACCACUGAGCGUUCGCCGGGUUUCGCUUCGCGCGUACCCGCGGACCAAGUGAUUGUUCCCGGCGUGUCAGCGGGACGUCCUGCCGGCGGGCGGACACGUGCUCGGUCUGCGUCGAUCGCGCGCGUCUCAACGACGCCGCGUCGAAGUGCGCGAGUGGCGGCCGCCGUUUAAAUCCUGUUCGUACGCGGUCCACGGUCAUCCGUGCGGUCGCGUACGGCGGGCCGGCACGUUUACUUUGAACAAAUUAGAGUGCUCAAAGCAGGCUCGCACGUGGCGGGGCGUGCGCCCUCAAAAGCGUACGUCUCGUCGUAUAGCCCUGAAUAUGGUCGCAUGGAAUAAUGGAACAAGACCUCGGUCCCGCCUCUACGCUGCUCGCAGCGCGUGAAGACAGCCCUCGCGGCGCUUCCGUGCGCGGGUCGCCGGGCGGGGUCCCGCGUUCGCGUCCGUCGUUGCGCGGCUGUUCGCAGCUCGCCAGCGCGGGUUACGCAUCGUCGGCGAUAAACCCCGUCCGUUGGCCGGUUUUCGGGACCGGAGGUAAUGAUCAACAGAGACAGGCGUGGGCAUUCGUACCGCGACGUUAGAGGUGAAAUUCUUGGAUCGUCGCGAGACGAACCGAAGCGAAAGCAUUUGCCAAGUAUGUUCUCGUCUGAUCAAGAACGAAAGUUAGAGGUUCGAAGGCGAUCAGAUACCGCCCUAGUUCUAACCGUAAACGAUGCCAGCUAGCGAUCCGCCGGUGUUCCUCCGAUGACCCGGCGGGCAGCUUCCGGGAAACCGAAGCUUUUCGGUUCCGGGGGAAGUAUGGUUGCAAAGCUGAAACUUAAAGGAAUUGACGGAAGGGCACCACCAGGAGUGGAGCCUGCGGC
rnacentral:rRNA from 1 species